AAAGCACCCCGGAAGGGGAGUGAAAUAGAACCUGAAACCGUGUGCUUACAAGUAGUCAGAGCCCGUUAAUGGGUGAUGGCGUGCCUUUUGUAGAAUGAACCGGCGAGUUACGAUUUGAUGCAAGGUUAAGCAGUAAAUGUGGAGCCGUAGCGAAAGCGAGUCUGAAUAGGGCGUUUAGUAUUUGGUCGUAGACCCGAAACCAGGUGAUCUACCCUUGGUCAGGUUGAAGUUCAGGUAACACUGAAUGGAGGACCGAACCGACUUACGUUGAAAAGUGAGCGGAUGAACUGAGGGUAGCGGAGAAAUUCCAAUCGAACCUGGAGAUAGCUGGUUCUCUCCGAAAUAGCUUUAGGGCUAGCCUCAAGUGAUGAUUAUUGGAGGUAGAGCACUGUUUGGACGAGGGGCCCCUCUCGGGUUACCGAAUUCAGACAAACUCCGAAUGCCAAUUAAUUUAACUUGGGAGUCAGAACAUGGGUGAUAAGGUCCGUGUUCGAAAGGGAAACAGCCCAGACCACCAGCUAAGGUCCCAAAAUAUAUGUUAAGUGGAAAAGGAUGUGGCGUUGCCCAGACAACUAGGAUGUUGGCUUAGAAGCAGCCAUCAUUUAAAGAGUGCGUAAUAGCUCACUAGUCGAGUGACACUGCGCCGAAAAUGUACCGGGGCUAAACAUAUUACCGAAGCUGUGGAUUGUCCUUUGGACAAUGGUAGGAGAGCGUUCUAAGGGCGUUGAAGCAUGAUCGUAAGGACAUGUGGAGCGCUUAGAAGUGAGAAUGCCGGUGUGAGUAGCGAAAGACGGGUGAGAAUCCCGUCCACCGAUUGACUAAGGUUUCCAGAGGAAGGCUCGUCCGCUCUGGGUUAGUCGGGUCCUAAGCUGAGGCCGACAGGCGUAGGCGAUGGAUAACAGGUUGAUAUUCCUGUACCACCUAUAAUCGUUUUAAUCGAUGGGGGGACGCAGUAGGAUAGGCGAAGCGUGCGAUUGGAUUGCACGUCUAAGCAGUAAGGCU
rnacentral:rRNA from 1 species